rnacentral:rRNA from 1 species
CUACGGGGUGCAGCAGUGAGGAAUAUUGCACAAUGGGGGGAACCCUGAUGCAGCAACGCCGCGUGGAGGAUGACGCAUUUCGGUGUGUAAACUCCUUUUAUAUGUCAAGAAAAUGACGGUAGCAUAUGAAUAAGCACCGGCUAACUCCGUGCCAGCAGCCGCGGUAAUACGGAGGGUGCAAGCGUUAUUCGGAAUCACUGGGCGUAAAGGACGCGUAGGCGGGUUUGCAAGUCAGGUGUGAAAUCCUAUGGCUCAACCAUAGAACUGCACUUGAAACUGCGAACCUAGAGUAUGGAAGGGGCAGAUGGAAUUAGUGGUGUAGGGGUAAAAUCCGUAGAUAUCACUAGGAAUACCAAAAGCGAAGGCGAUCUGCUGGGACAUUACUGACGCUAAGGCGUGAAAGCGUGGGGAGCAAACAGGAUUAGAUACCCUAGUAGUC